rnacentral:guide_RNA from 1 species
GAUAUAAUAAGAACGCAAAAGAUGGUUACUGUGGGUUAAUGGAUUAUGGUAU